UGGGGAAUAUUGCACAAUGGGCGCAAGCCUGAUGCAGCCAUGCCGCGUGUAUGAAGAAGGCCUUCGGGUUGUAAAGUACUUUCAGCGGGGAGGAAGGCGGUGAGGUUAAUAACCUCGCCGAUUGACGUUACCCGCAGAAGAAGCACCGGCUAACUCCGUGCCAGCAGCCGCGGUAAUACGGAGGGUGCAAGCGUUAAUCGGAAUUACUGGGCGUAAAGCGCACGCAGGCGGUCUGUUAAGUCAGAUGUGAAAUCCCCGGGCUUAACCUGGGAACUGCAUUUGAAACUGGCAGGCUUGAGUCUCGUAGAGGGGGGUAGAAUUCCAGGUGUAGCGGUGAAAUGCGUAGAGAUCUGGAGGAAUACCGGUGGCGAAGGCGGCCCCCUGGACGAAGACUGACGCUCAGGUGCGAAAGCGUGGGGAGCAAACAGG
rnacentral:rRNA from 3 species